rnacentral:rRNA from 1 species
UACGUAGGGGGCUAGCGUUAUCCGGAAUUACUGGGCGUAAAGGGUGCGUAGGUGGUUUCUUAAGUCAGAGGUGAAAGGCUACGGCUCAACCGUAGUAAGCCUUUGAAACUGAGAAACUUGAGUGCAGGAGAGGAGAGUAGAAUUCCUAGUGUAGCGGUGAAAUGCGUAGAUAUUAGGAGGAACACCAGUAGCGAAGGCGGCUCUCUGGACUGUAACUGACACUGAGGCACGAAAGCGUGGGGAGCAAACAGGAUUAGAUACCCGGGUAGUCCCUGAG